AUACGACUCCGGUGCACACACGUGGACUCGCAUCAAGGGUCCCUAAAGUCUGGACUACGUGAUGUCAUCAAAGUGUGGACUCUGAGGAGGACCACAAGUCCGGAGUGUGCCAUUUGGGACAGGGCCAACAGCUAGGGCUGCGACCAUUGCCCGCGCUGCUAGCCAAUUGAGUGGAACGUCCGCAUUUGGCGGCCAUCUUACCACAGGCAGUUCGCACACUCGUAGCAUUGAGUUUUAAUGGUGCAGGUCAGAGUCGUAUAAUAAGAGAGUUACGAAACGCUUUGAUCUCGCCGCCGCGCGGUCACGUGAUUCAUGUAACGUUCUUCAGUUCCAAACCAAGCAGGGCUGUCAAUCUGUUUGCAUAGGUUUUCAUCUAUUUAAGGGCGGCGCCAUUACACCCAUUUUGUCAACGUACUUCCGGCUGCAUAUGAUGAGCAGCUGAGGCAGUGGCUGAAGGCGACGCGUUAAACUUAAAAAGCUCACUCAAGCGCCUUUAUGUUUGUUUCUUACCUAUUUUAACGGACGGGAUGCUGACUGAGGAACACCCUAAUCCCAAGUAAUGGUUUGACCACGAUGUUCCGGUAACUUGAAGCCAUGCCGGGUGUUGAAAAGGUGGUCAGUUUCAGAUGCAUUGAUGUUUAGUGAUGCAAUGGACAACUGUGAGGAUGAUAUACAAUCAACAUGUUCCUAAACUGUGAUGCAGAAACACAAUGGGAGGAUCAAUCCGUCUCUGAACACAACUACACUUGAAAAUCACAACUCAACCUGAAGCAACCUACAUCUGAUAUGGCAGUGGUUCUUAACAUUAUUCCUCGAGGCCCACUGCCCUGCACAGUUUGUAUGUCUCCCUUAUUUAACACACCUGAUUCAAAUCAUCAGCUCAUUAGAAGAGAUCUCAAUGAACUGAACUGAGUCUGUCAAAUAAAAGAGACAUACAAAAUGUGCAAAGCAGUGGGCUUCGAGGAAUAACGUUAAGAACCACUGUGAUAUGGGAAAACAACCUUGCGGUUUCCCGGACAGGGCUUAUGCUGGUUUGGGCUAUUUGAGCUACGAUAAUUUAAAAACGCCUUGUACUGACAUACCUCAACACAUAUGAUUGCCAUUGUUUUGUCACAAGAUGUGGUUUGUUUGUAAAAACUAAAAUGUCCUAAUAUAAUUAAGGCCUAGUCCUGUAAACCCUGUCCAAGAAACUGCUUCAAUGCUUCUGCUUCAUGUGUUGAGCUGGCACAAAUGUACAUAUCUCUGCUGAGAAACAACCAUCUUUGUCAGCUUUACACAGGGUUGAUAUUGCAUGCAUUACACAGUCACCAAGCACGUCACCAGUACAUACACCAACAGCUUCCAGAUAAACACUUGGGAUCAGCUCCUGAUGACUCUGAUAAAGCUGCAUCUUAAUUCAUUGCAUGUGGUCUUGCUGAAAAGUUUCUUAGUCCAUAGUUAUUUUUAUAAACCUUUACAAUGUGACCUGAUUUUACCUGUUGUAAAGUUACAUUAAACCUUCAUACUGUAUGUGAUCAGAUGUCAUGCAGUGAUAUUAAACAUUUACAAUGUGAUCUGUUGUGCAUUUAUAUUAAACCUUUACAAUGUGAUCAGAUAUUACCUGCCAUGCAGUUAUAUUAAACCUUUACAAUGUAAUCAGAUGUUGUGCAGUUAUAUUAAAUCUUUACAAUGUGAU